rnacentral:rRNA from 1 species
AUUGAACGCUGGCGGCAGGCCUAACACAUGCAAGUCGAACGAGUGGCGGACGGGUGAGUAAUGUCUGGGAAACUGCCUGAUGGAGGGGGAUAACUACUGGAAACGGUAGCUACUACCGCAUACCAUCAGAUGUGCCCAGAUGGGAUUAGCUAGUUGGUGGGGUAACGGCUCACCAAGGCGACGAUCCCUAGCUGGUCUGCGAGGAUGACCAGCAAUACUGGGACUGAGACACGGCCCAGACUCCUACGGGAGGCAGCAGUGGGUAAGUUUGCACAAUGGGCGCAAGCCUGAUGCAGCCAUGACGCGUGUAUGAAGAAGGCUUUCGGGUUGUAAAGUACUUUCAGCGGGGAGGCGGUACCCGCAGAAGAAGCACCGGCUAACUCCGUGCCAGCAGCCGCGGUAAUAC